rnacentral:rRNA from 1 species
AGAGUUUGAUCAUGGCUCAGAUUGAACGCUGGCGGAAUGCUUUACACAUGCAAGUCGAACGGUAGAGGGGGCAACCCCUUGAGAGUGGCGAACGGGUGAGUAAUAUAUCGGAACGUGCCCAGUCGUGGGGGAUAACGUAGUGAAAAUUACGCUAAUACCGCAUACGAUCUAAGGAUGAAAGCGGGGGAUCGCAAGACCUCGCGCGAUUGGAGCGGCCGAUAUCAGAUUAGGUAGUUGGUAGGGUAAAGGCCUACCAAGCCAACGAUCUGUAGCUGGUCUGAGAGGACGACCAGCCACACUGGAACUGAGACACGGUCCAGACUCCUACGGGAGGCGGCAGUGGGGAAUUUUGGACAAUGGGCGAAAGCCUGAUCCAGCCAUUCCGCGUGCAGGAUGAAGGCCCUCGGGUUGUAAACUGCUUUUGUACAGAACGAAAAGGUCUCUAUUAAUACUAGGGGCUCAUGACGGUACUGUAAGAAUAAGCACCGGCUAACUACGUGCCAGCAGCCGCGGUAAUACGUAGGGUGCAAGCGUUAAUCGGAAUUACUGGGCGUAAAGCGUGCGCAGGCGGUUAUAUAAGUCAGAUGUGAAAUCCCCGGGCUCAACCUGGGAAUUGCAUCUGUGACUGUAUAGCUAGAGUACGGUAGAGGGGGAUGGAAUUCCGCGUGUAGCAGUGAAAUGCGUAGAUAUGCGGAGGAACACCGAUGGCGAAGGCAAUCCCCUGGACCUGUACUGACGCUCAUGCACGAAAGCGUGGGGAGCAAACAGGAUUAGAUACCCUGGUAGUC